rnacentral:lncRNA from 1 species
GGUUGGGAAAGGAAAGUGUUAAUCUGAUCUCAAGCCAAAUCGCGUCUUUCUCUCUCUCUCUUAAGCCGAAACCUCUCUCUCUCACAAAGUCGAAACCUCGCCUGAUCGCGUCUCUAGCCUAAAGCUUCCGGCCGAACGAAGCCAGAAACUCGACGAACUCGCCGUCUCUCUCUGUCUCCCAAGGUAUUUUCUACUUCCCCCAAUAUUCAUCUAGUACUGCUUGGUUCUCUAUAACCCAACGAAUCCACCGAGUCCAAUCUCCUAUAUGCUAAGUAUUCCUCCACAUGAACCACCUACCAAAUAAUCCAUACCCCAACAAGAAGUAUAAAUCUUACUGUCUUUCCGGUAGCUUUAAAAAUAAAGGUUCCUCAAACUUCUAAUUUUUUUUUCUCUGUUUGAACCUUUUGAAUUCAAAUUGAAUGUUUAAAAAGUUUUGCACUGUUUGGUGGUUUAGGCACAAGGAUAUAGGUUGGGCUGAGGAGUAAUAAGGAGGAUAUAAUGGGUUCAUGAUAUAAAUCAAUGGUGGUGAAACUGAUAGCCUAAAAUUGUGCCUACCAACUGUUUGAUAAAAGUUCUAAAAGAACUGUUUUGAUUGAAUUUAUAUAUGUAUAUUUGAAUUUAUACUACUAUUAAUAUAAACCAAUGGUGGCAUAUAGUGAUAUCUAGGGAGUGCUGGGGUUUUGGGUUAAUAAGUAGUGUGAUGCAGAAUAAAGGGGCUACAUGACAUAUUUAAUGUAGAGGAUUCCUUACAACUUUUUAGAGCAUCGUAAGGGCUGUGACAGUAGAGGAUUCCUUGCAACUUCUUAGGUUUUUUCCUUCUAAUUAAGUGCAUUUGGUGUUUUGACAGUUGAGCAGUAGCAAUUAAUAUAUCAAGCAUAUAACAGUUGAGCAGUAUUGUUGUAAUUGAUUAUGUUAUUAUAUUUUACAAAAAAAAUACCAUUUUUAUAUAACAAUAAAUGUAUAAUAUAACUCAUUUUGUGAAAUUGAUGACUAAAAUCUCAAUAUUGUUUUAUAUAAAAAAAUAUCAAUAUUGAAAUGAGGAAUUGGAAGUAAACCAAAGUAAUACUAUUGUGAUAAUUGUUUUAAAUAUGUAUGAGACAUCUAGGUGUGAGGCCUAGUCUUCUUCCCCUCUUUCAUGUGUUAUUGUGAUGAUAUGUGGAUUACCAACUGUGGAAUGUCUCUAAAACAUUGCAAUAUUAUGGCAAUUUUAGCAGAUAAGGUUCAAUAAAGGAUAUAAUGUCUACUUCAAGCAACAUGAGCAUUCAAGUAAUUGUAAUGAUUGUGUACUCUGCUACCCUAACUAACUGUAAUGACUAUAAUGACUAUAAGGAAAAUGUAAUGAUUAUGUACUCUGCUACCCUUUUGUAUUAAGAAAGCACUAGAUGAUUGUCUUGUUGAAAAUAUGGAUGUUAAGUAUAUUUUUUCACUGGUCCUGUGGAUUUAUAAUCCCCCUCCCCUAAGCGGAUAAAUUAGUAAAAAAAAGGUUUAGGUAGACAUCCUUGAUGAUAGUCUUAUAGAUACUGCACAAUGGUUAUGGGAACACAUGGUGUGGUAUUAUAUGAGAUCUUAACCAGCAGAUUGUCAUUAGAAAGAAACCGGCCUAAAACUGAACAAAAACAUUUUGACUGGGUAAAGCAUUUCCCUGCUGACAGUAAGAAAUUUGGUAUGAUAACGGACCCGAGACUUGAAAAUCAAUACUCUCGCACUACAGCUCGAGAAAUUGCCAAGUGAACAUGUUGGUGGAAUCAGUAGAAGAGGGUUUAUGCUGAUGCAGAGAGCAAAAGUACCUUAAAAAACUAUUUCAUCACAGGACCAGAUUUUGUGUUUUUUCAAAGGUUUUCUGUAGACAGUAGUACAUUGUAAAUAAGAAACAUAACCCAAAAAAAGAAAAAUGUUAUGGUUAAUCUAGUUUCCUCAAACUCAACAAUGCAGCUUAAUUAGCACAUUCAACUGGUCGAAUCAAACCUCAAAAAGAACACUAUCAAACAAUAACCUUAACUAUUAUAUAAAUAUCUCAUCCCACAAAAACACUAUCAAACAGUGAUGUAUUACAAGUAAAAAAACUCACAACAAUAAGCAACAACCACGAUUAACACAAUACAAACAGAGGGUUCUGAUACACAACAAUAAUAGCUUAUUUCAGCAAUUUGGCAGAUUACAUCACUUCGUAAAUCCACACGUCAAAGAAGCCCCUACCACAUGGACUCCCAUCCUGAAACACGAAAAAUUGCAGCAAUGUCAACUACAAGAUGGAGACAAAAUUGCAAUAAGGAAAACAAUCAAACAUAGACUAUGAUGCAAUAUUGUAGCAGGUAUAUUGUUUGCUAUUAAAUCAAAGAAAUCUGCAGUGAAAAUAUGAUGCAAUAAUGGAUUUUGCAAAGUAAAUACUUUCACUAAUUGUGGAACAAAAAUCAUGGUUGAGCAGAAUAAAUUGGUUACAUGUUAUUUUAGCUUUAGGAUUGUCUACCCAAAAACUAUGGUAUUCUGUAUCAUUUUACCUUUAGGUGUUAGAGACUACCCAAGUUUACAGCAGAGGAGAUGGAAAAUUCCUAUUAACAUAUGUAACCAAUUUACAGCCCCACAAGUGCACAAAUCACAAUAGAGACUAUUCAAAGAUUUUGAUAAAUAAAUAGUGGAUGAUACAUUUAGUUUUUAAAUUGUUUUGGCAUAAUUAAUGAUGAUGUUUUUGUCCAUGACAGCAAAUGAGGGUCCAUGGAAGAGGAGGAAAAAUAGACCUAUUUUGAGAUGGAGAAACCAAACUAGACAAAUAUAUACCUAUUGUUUAUAAUAUAUAGCUAGGUAGAUUCCAUUACCCUCUCACACAUAUACAAAUUAAAAAGCACUUCGCAAACCCAACGGCCUUUGGCUGUAGACUCCUUUCUAAGCAGCCCCUCCCCCAAAUUAGCUAGCAAAAAAAAUUAGAAGUUUGAGGAACCUUUAUUUUUAAAGCUACCGGAAAGACAGUAAGAUUUAUAUUUCUUGUUGGGGUAUGGAUUAUUUGGUAGGUGGUUCAUGUGGAGGAAUACUUCGCAUAUAGGAGAUUGGACUCGAUGGAUUCGGUGGGUUAUAGAGAACCAAGCAGUACUAGAUGAAUAUUGGGGGAAGUAGAAAAUACCUUGGGAGACAAAGAGAGACGGCGAGUUCGUCGAGUUUUUGGCUUCGUUUGGCCGGAAGCUUUGGGCUAGAGACGCGAUCAGGCGAGGUUUCAGCUUCGUAAGAGAGAGAGAGAGAGAGAGGUUUCGGCUUAAGAGAGAGAGAAAGACGCGAUUUGGCUUGAGAUCAGAUUAACACUUUCCUUUCCUUUCCCAACCGUUGGAUAUAAUCCACGGCUCAUAACAGAAGUUUGGAUUUUAAGUAAUGUCCGGGCGCCCAGACUAGAUCUUAACCGUAUAUAUAUAUAUAUAUAUAUAUAUAUAUAUAUAUAUAUAUAUAUAUAUAUAUAUAUAUAUAUAUAUAUAUAUUACAGAAAUUUAAUAAGAGGAAAAUGAUAAAUAAUAUUAUAAUAUUGUUAUUACAAUUAAAACGUAUCUUUUGAGUACAAACUGAGUACAGUAUAUUAAAAUUAUUGAAUUUAUGAAAAUAUAAUUUGCAUGAGUUCAUAAUUUAAUUAUAUGUAUUAUAUUUUAUUUUGAUAAUUAGAUCGGAUUUAGGGAGUUUAGCGGGUGAUAGUUGGAUUCGGCGAAUUAUUUUGGUACUAUAUUAAGGUACGGGUUCCGUACUUUUUCAGCGAUACUCUUUAAAAUUUAAUUCGUUCGUUUGUACUCGUUUAGAAAUUUGGUAUUAUCUCUCAGGAUUAUUCCUUGUUGUAAAAAUUAUUGAGAUAGUUUCAUUUUGGCUUUAAUAUUAGAAUUCGUAUUUGUACUCUUUGAACUAGUUAAUCGUGUCAAUAUGUUUUGGAGACUUUAUUCGUUUGUACCAUUGUUCGUAUAUUUUUGUUCACAUUCGGGAGUUAUUUUGAUCAUUGAUAUAUUAUGUUAAUUAAUAAUGUUUGUAUUUGAUAAUUCGAUUUCAUUUGAAUAUGGUCAUGUAAGCCUUGUGAUUUGAACCCCUUUUGGCUUACAUUUUGUAGUUUGAUCCUUAGGGUAUACUUGAGCUAACCACCUGUGGGGGUACCACAGGCAUGUCCUCUUGACACAAGGGCAUGACAGCUUCCAUGGCGGUGUGAUUAGUCCACAGCGUAUCCUUUUGUAUGCUCUGGGUAUGAGCUUUGGCCAUUUGAUAUAUUUGUUCAAGAUACGUAUGGGUCGACCCAGUAUUUGAUUUGAUUCGAUUUGUUUGGCGGAUUAGUGAUGUAUGUGUCGUGCGUACUAUCCGAUUUGAUUUGUAUACAUCAUGGUAUCGAUGUAUUUUAUUAGCCUUUGGCUAUUUGUAUUUGAGCUCAGUAUGAAACUAUUACCUUGCAACCAUUUGAUUCAGCCUUAUUUCAUUGGGAUAAUUUUUGGGUAUAAUUAUUCGUUCGAUAGUGUUAAUCAUUUGUAAAUGGUCUCACUAAUUUUGAUAUAUUCGUAAUUUGUUUGUAAUUCACUUAUAUUCAUUCAUUCGACUCUUUCAGUUACAUCAUAUAUUGUGAUAUAUUUGUUCAUCUUUAUAUCCAUACUGGGCAAUUGGCUCACAUUGUGUUCUUUUUCCGGCAGGUAAUCAGGGGUGAUCAGGAUAUGUGGGAUGAGAGCUACCUUUGAUCCAAUUGAGUAGAUUAGUUUCUAAGACUUAUUAUUAGACUUGGUUUUCUUAAUAUUUUGUAUAUGGAUAUUUGGGCAAUUUUGGUAUUUAUUUCUUAUUAGUAGAGAUUAUAUAAGUGUGGAGUUCCUUCUAUUUGGAGUACGUGACAAUUAGUGUUCAAUUUCAUUGGAAAUAUUUUGAGAUUUAUUAGAGGUUUGUGUUUAUUAUGUUUUGUGCGUGACAUUCCUUUUCCUUUUAAGGAAGGGGGUGUUACAGUAUAUCCAUGGCCUACAAUGCUACUGGUUGCGGGGAGGGACUGUCUAUGUCCAGACCUCCACUAUUUGAUGGUACCAACUUUGCCACCUG